rnacentral:tRNA from 1 species
UGGAUAGCUCAGUUGGUAGAGCAGAGGACUGAAAAUCCUCGUGUCGCUGGUUCGAUUCCGGCUUCAG